UACGUAGGGUGCAAGCGUUAAUCGGAAUUACUGGGCGUAAAGCGUGCGCAGGCGGUUUUGUAAGUCAGAUGUGAAAUCCCCGGGCUCAACCUGGGAACUGCAUUUGUGACUGCAUGGCUAGAGUACGGUAGAGGGGGAUGGAAUUCCGCGUGUAGCAGUGAAAUGCGUAGAUAUGCGGAGGAACACCGAUGGCGAAGGCAAUCCCCUGGACCUGUACUGACGCUCAUGCACGAAAGCGUGGGGAGCAAACAGG
rnacentral:rRNA from 1 species